CGGACUCCUCAGCAACCUCGCCACACUCGGGACUGUGGAGACUGCUCUGUGCUCUCAGGAAACUACUGUCUUAAGGAGGAAGAAAAGAGACCCUCUGAUUUCUCCCAAUCAACCAACCAACCAACUAGGUCAAGACCACGUAAAUUAAUCAGGACCAGCACCGGAGUCAAACCCCCCAGUGAUCUUCGCCUUCUUCAGUAAUUCCACUUCCCG
rnacentral:lncRNA from 1 species